rfam:Nematostella vectensis strain CH2 x CH6 NEMVEscaffold_142_Cont15278, whole genome shotgun sequence.
GUUUCUGUGGCGCAAUCGGUUAGCGCGUUCGGCUCUUUACCGAAAGGUCGGUGGUUCAAACCCACCAGGGACG